UGGGAUGUAGCUCGGUUGGUAGAGCUCUUGCCUAACAUGCAAGAGCUCCCUGGGUUCAAUCCUCAGCACCACAG
rfam:Ictidomys tridecemlineatus contig023589, whole genome shotgun sequence.